rnacentral:tRNA from 1 species
GGACUGUAGCUUAGUGGUAGAGCACUUGCCUCCCACAUGUGAGGCACUGGGUUCGAUUCUCAGCACCA